rnacentral:lncRNA from 1 species
GAGGUGAAAAAAGAUAAGGGAAGAUGAGUAAGUUAGACGACUGUUGUGAGGAUGACCAAGUGAUUAGUGAAAAAUAAAGAUGAUGGAUAAUGGAGGCAAUCUGCAGUGGAGUGAAUGGGACAUGGAGAAUGAUCAAUGGAAGAUAAAUGUUGAGUUGUUGAAUGGUGGUGGGAGAAAGAUGAUGGAGAGGCAAAGGAAAGAUGAUGUUGAAAGGGAAGAAGAAGAUGAAAAUGUUAGUGGUGGAAACACGGUGGAGAAAAAACAAGGAAUGUUGUUGAAAUAAUUUUUAUUUUGAUUGAAUAUUGUUGUUUAUGAA